ensembl:rRNA 5S_rRNA 5S ribosomal RNA
GCCAUCAGCCAUACCACCUCGGGCUGUGAUCAUGCCAGAUCUCAUAAACUAAGCAAGGUUAGGCCUGCUCAAUAAAGUAUCUGGAUGGGGAAUUCUCCAAGGAAAACCCAAGUGCUGCAAGAA